rnacentral:rRNA from 1 species
UACGUAGGGUGCGAGCGUUAAUCGGAAUUACUGGGCGUAAAGCGUGCGCAGGCGGUUUUGUAAGUCUGUUGUGAAAUCCCCCGGGCUCAACCCUGGGAAUGGCAAUGGAGACUGCAAGGCUAGAGUUUGGCAGAGGGGGGGUAGCAAUUCCACGUGUAGCAGUGAAAUGCGUAGAUAUGUGGAGGAACACCGAUGGCGAAGGCAGCCCCCUGGGUCAAAACUGACGCUCAUGCACGAAAGCGUGGGGAGCAAACAGG